AUUUCUCCAGGCAUCGUAGAGCUGCUCGAAAGAUGCCACAAUGGCAUCCUGAUCUCUACAAGCUUUCUCAGCGUCAUGGAAGUUCAGGUUGUAGCGGCCCAGUCGAGGGAAAUAUGGAAAGACAAUGCCUGUGGAAUGUCAAAGAUCAGACGACAGCCCCUCACCAGCACCCCAUACUGGGUACCAGCAUCUAGAACAAAGCGGUGACCUUUUCAUCUUUACAGAGUCCUCAGAAACUAGGUUAAAAGUCCACGGAGAGACGUUUUGGUUGUGCACAGGUCAAGGGACACAACUGCUGUGUCGUCCUCCAAGCCAUCGAUGACCUCACACUUGUAUUUCCCAUAAUCCUCCAGUGUGAUCUCAGUGAUGACCAGCGAGGCAUCGUUCUCGCUGGCAGCCUGCAAGUACACGCGGCC